rnacentral:lncRNA from 1 species
CCAGAUUCACACCCUCCCAAGUUCUGGCCAGGAGUCUUCUCUCCCAGUCCAAAUUGUCACAGAGUUCAGCCAGAGACUUCCUUCUCCUUGUGGUGUUUUCCCCCGCACCUCUGGCCACCCUCCAGAAGGAUCCCUGUGUUGCCAGGCAGGAAUGGCUUGCUUGGGGAACCAGCCAGCUCCCAAGUCCUUCCCCUUUGCUUCUUCUACCCCUGUAUUUCGCUCAGCUCUCUAAAUUGACUCAGGUCCAGGUAAGGUUGGAAACUUCUCCCACAAACUAGUCCUUCGGUUUUCCCAGUGGAGUUGUUUGUUCGGGAGUGGUGAAUCUCCCUUUCCCACUUCCACAGCUGGGGCCUCACAGUAUUUGGGGUGUCUCCCGGGUCCUGCAGGAACAGUCUGCUUCCUUCCUUUAGAGAACCUGUGGGUCCUCUUGGGAUUCCUGGUUUGUUCUUUCAGUUGUUCUGGAGCCAAAAUUCACGAUGCAAGCCUCCGCACACUGCUCUGUCUAUCUGAGUAGGAGCUGCGAUCUUGGGCUGAUCUGAAUGCACUACAACAGAGGAUUCACUAUCUCAUGGCUUCCUGUUAGUUUCAACCUAAGAGAUCCAAGAGUGGUCCUGAGACAAUGAGUGGCUGGUGCAAGAGUAUGAAAGCCCAACUCCCUCGCUCCAUCUUAGGACAAUUUCUGAGCUCCUGAUUUUCUGUGUUCCUGAUUUUCCCUGUGGGGUCAACUGAUAUUAUUCUGCACAGAGGAUUCAGUACAAAAAAACGUGUGGCUACCUUCUUCAAAAAGCAGGAACAAAGUGCUAUUAGAGAAAUAUAUUAUGACACAAAUCUUCAUACAGAUUAGAGACACAUGAAAUACCUGAAAAUUCUACUUCCACCUAAGGAAAAGAGGAGAACAAGGUUCUUAAUUCAGCACAAGUGCUCUCCAAAAUUCUUUCCUCAGAACUUCAGCCGUUCAGAGGGUGGAGAGUGGGAGGAGCCAGAAGAUCAGGAAAAAUAAUUAAUGAGUACUAGGCCUAAUACCUGGGUGAUGAAAUAAUCUGCACAACAAACCCCCAUGACACAAGUUUACCUAUGUAACGUACCUGUACUUGUACAUCUGAACUUAAAAUAAAAGUUUAAAAAAUACAUAAAAAUCAACAAUAAAAGAAAUUCUU